UUAUUAAUUUCUAUAUUACUAAAUCUUAAUUUCUUAAAUUUUUAAUAUUAAUUACUAUUUUCAUAAAUUAAAUAUUUUUAAAAUAAUUAAAAUU
rnacentral:rRNA from 1 species